CUGACGGGAGGGCAGCGGUGGGACGCUGUCCAGGUAUAGUCAGGUUUCCGCUGGUUUCUUGGGUGUGUCGCCGGGCCCGACGGCUGAUGCG
ncrna:unclassified sequences Rhodo-rpoB RNA